rnacentral:sRNA from 1 species
CAGCCAUAUCUCGGUCGUCACCUUCGUUGCUGCCGACGAGUCCGGACAUCCUACAACAUUAACGCCGACACUGUUUCUGGAGAACUGUUGUAGUGCUUGGGGCGGAGAAGCGGAUUCUGCUGAACGACGUGGCGGGAAUUCUGGAGGAUGGAAACGAUCCAAACAGCUUGGUGAAGAAGAGUAACAUAAAAAGAGUGAAGAAAAUGGUCGAAGAGAGAAAAGUUGGAGAUGGAAUGAUACCUAGAGUUAAUUGUUGCGUGAGAUCGUUGGCACAAGGGGUUACUACAGCGAGAAAAUCUUCAACUCUAACUCAUUGAUGCAAAGGCCAGGGAAAUCACUGAUGUAAAUCAAGUUUCAUGAGGAUCACUGAUGUAAAUCAAGUUUCAUGAGGAGUUAUCCAAUCUAGGUUGGUGAAGAUGUGGUGGGAGAGCUAACCAAGUCCAUGGAAAAAAUUGGGAUGGAUAUCCUAAUUGUUGCUCUAUUUAGUCUCACUCUUCUCUCUUUUUUAUAUAUAUAUUUUAUGGCUAGGAUUUGAGUAUGACGAUUUCCAAUGUGUCUGACUGAGUUUUUUGAGUUACAAGAUUUUAUUAUGUCAUUUUUAUUUUAUUUUAAGUCAUUCUUGGUGGUAUAGUAUAUAAACUGUAAAUGAAACUUAACUUGCUGAUUUGAUGUAGGUUAAUGAUACCAUUGGAACAUUAGCUGGAGGCAGAUUCUACAAUCAGGAUGUAAUUGCUAUUGUGAUUCUUGGUAUUGGAACAAAUGCAGCAUAUGUAGAACGUGCACAUGCUAUUCCAAAAUGGCACACUUAUACCAAAAUCUGGAGAUAUGGUUAUAAACAUGGAGUGGGGUAAUUUCCGA